GUCUGUCAGUGAUGAGACCACGGAACUUGCGUCAGGCAUGGCGCCCGAGACUUAUGAGGAUAUCAUCCAUGCUGCCUUCCUUCUGAGACUGCAC
rnacentral:snoRNA from 1 species